ACGGAGCAACGCCGCGUGAGUGAUGAAGGCUUUCGGGUCGUAAAACUCUGUUGUUAGGGAAGAACAAGUGCUAGUUGAAUAAGCUGGUUCUUUCAUGGCACCUAACCAGAAAGCCACGGAUAACUACGCGCCAGCAGGCGCGGUAAUACGUAGGUGGCAAGCCUUAUCCGGAAUUAUUGGGCGUAAAGCGCGCGCAGGUGGUUUGUUAAGUCUGAUGUGAAAGCCCACGGCUCAACCCGUGGAGGGUCAUUGGAAACUGGGAGACUUGAGUGCAGAAGAGGAAAGUGGAAUUCCAUGUGUAGCGGUGAAAUGCGUAGAGAUAUGGAGGAACACCAGUGGCGAAGGCGACUUUCUGGUCUGUAACUGACACUGAGGCGCGAAAGCGUGGGGAGCAAACAGGAUUAGAUACCCUGGUAGUCCACGCCGUAAACGAUGAGUGCUAAGUGUUAGAGGGUUUCCGCCCUUUAGUGCUGAAGUUAACGCAUUAAGCACCUCGCCUGGG
rnacentral:rRNA from 1 species